GUGGAGCGAAAUUUAGUAGUGAAGUAUGUGAGCCAUGUGCCGAGAAAAGCCGCUAUUGUUUUAUAUGUGCCCGUACCGUAAACCGACACAGGUGGAUGAGGAGAAAAUCCUAAGGCCGACGGAAGAAGCAUUGUUAAGGAAUUCGGCAAAAUGACCCCGUAACUUCGGGAGAAGGGGUGCCCACUGAAUGGUGGGCCGCAGAGAAUAGGCUCAAGCAACUGUUUAGCAAAAACACAGGUCUAUGCGAAACCGAAAGGUGAAGUAUAUGGGCUGACGCCUGCCCGGUGCUGGAAGGUUAAGAGGAGAGGUUAGCGUAAGCGAAGCUUUGAAUUUAAGCCCCAGUAAACGGCGGCCGUAACUAUAACGGUCCUAAGGUAGCGAAAUUCCUUGUCGGGUAAGUUCCGACCCGCACGAAAGGCGUAAUGAUUUGAGCACUGUCUCGACAAUGCAUCCGGUGAAAUUGAAGUACCAGUGAAGAUGCUGGUUACCCGCGCCAGGACGGAAAGACCCCAUGGAGCUUUACUCCAGUUUGAUACUGGGAUUCGGUACUGCACGUACAGGAUAGGUGGGAGACUGAGAACUAUGGACGCCAGUCUGUAGGGAGUCGCUGUUGGGAUACCACCCCUGUAGUACUGGGUUUCUAACCAUCUGCCGUGAUCCGGCAGUGGGACAAUGUCAGGCGGGGAGUUUGACUGGGGCGGUCGCCUCCGAAAGGGUAUCGGAGGCGCUCAAAGGUUCCCUCAGAAUGGUCGGAAACCAUUUGAAGAGUGCAAAGGCAGAAGGGAGCUUGACUGCGACACCGACGGGUGGAGCAGGUACGAAAGUAGGACUUAGUGAUCCGGUGGUAUAAAGUGGGAUUGCCAUCGCUCAACGGAUAAAAGCUACCCUGGGAUAACAGGCUUAUCACUCCCAAGAGUUCACAUCGACGGAGUGGUUUGGCACCUCGAUGUCGGCUCAUCGCAUCCUGGGGCUGUAGCAGGUCCCAAGGGUUGGGCUGUUCGCCCAUUAAAGCGGUACGCGAGCUGGGUUCAGAACGUCGUGAGACAGUUCGGUCCCUAUCCGGCGCGGGCGGAGGAUAUUUGAGAGGAGCUGUCCUUAGUACGAGAGGACCGGGAUGGACGGACCACUGGUGUAUCUGUUGUCGACCAACGGCAUGGCAGAGUAGCCAAGUCCGGAAGGGAUAAACGCUGAAGGCAUCUAAGCGUGGAGCCCCCCUCAAGAUGAGAUAUCCCUCCUUCGGGAGUAAGACCCCUUGAAGACUACAAGGUAGAUAGGGCAGAGGUGGAAGUGUGGCAACACAUGGAGCUGACUGUUACUAAUAGGUCGAGGGCUUGGU
rnacentral:rRNA from 1 species